UCUAGCGACAAUAGCGACGUAGAACCACCUGAUCCCAUUCCGAACUCAGUAGUGAAAUGCGUUAGCGCCGAUGGUAGUGUGGGAGUUCCCAUGUGAGAGUAGGACAUUGCUAGGC
rnacentral:rRNA from 1 species